rnacentral:rRNA from 1 species
CAAUAGCGUAUAUUAACGUUGUUGCAGUUAAAAAGCUCGUGGUUGGAUUUCUGGAGGGAGCGUCGGCCCGUAUUUACGAGUGCGUGACGUCUCUGUCCAUCCUUGCGGGAAGGCACGGCAUUGAUUUGUUGUGUCGGAUCGCAUCAUUUACUGUGAAAAAAUUAGAGUGUUCAAAGCAGGCUUUCGCUUGAAUACAUUAGCAUGGAAUAAUAAGAUAGGACUUUGGUGCUAUUUUGUUGGUUGAGCCUAAAGUAAUGAUUAAUAGGGAUAGUUGGGGGCACCUGUAUUGCGUUGUCAGAGGUGAAAUUCUUGGAUUUACGCAAGACAAACAGCUGCGAAAGCGUCUGCCAAGGAUGUUUUCAUUAA